AUUGAACGCUGGCGGCAGGCCUAACACAUGCAAGUCGAACGAGUGGCGGACGGGUGAGUACUGUCUGGGAAACUGCCUGAUGGAGGGGGAUAACUACUGGAAACGGUAGCUAAUACCGCAUACCAUCAGAUGUGCCCGGAUGGGAUUAGCUUGGUGGGGGGGUAACGGCUAACAAAGGCGACGAUCCGUAGCGGGUCUGAUAGGAUGACCAGCCACACUGGAACUGAGACACGGGCCAGACUCCUACGGGAGGCAGCAGUGGGGAAUAUUGCACAAUGGGGGAAACCCUGAUGCAGCCAUGCCGCGUGUAUGAAGAAGGCCUUCGGGUUGUAAAGUACUUUCAGCGGGGAGGCGGUACCAACAGAAUAAGCACCGGCUAACUUCGUGCCAGCAGCCGCGGUAAUUC
rnacentral:rRNA from 1 species